rnacentral:sRNA from 1 species
UAUUUUAUCUAUAUUGUAACAGUAAUUAUCCUGGACAGAACCUUUAAAACAGUCUGUUGCAUGUUACAGACUCAAGAUUGGUACAUCAUAAUCUGAAAUCAAAGCAAAUACCUCAUCAUCAACUUAAGGACAAGUGCAUGUAUUUCCUACACAUCUUCUUUGCUAUUAAAAUAAAUCCAUUGCUGCAAGCGUUACUACCUCUGGUCUCAUUUGGAGUUGAUCUCUAGGCACUGAACAAGUAUUGGCUGCUAUGUCAUCUUAAAGCAAAAAAAUUACUAUUUAGAUGACUAUGAAAAAAGAAAUAAAAUACAUCUUUGUUAA